rnacentral:rRNA from 1 species
AUACGUAUGGUGCAAACGUUGUUCGGAAUCACUGGGCGUAAAGCGCGCGUAGGCGGCUUGUUAAGUCGGAUGUGAAAUCCCCGGGCUCAACCUGGGAAUUGCAUUCGAAACUGGCUAGCUAGAGUAUGGUAGAGGGAAGUGGAAUUUCAGGUGUAGCGGUGAAAUGCAUAGAUAUCGGGAGGAACACCAGUGGCGAAGGCGGCUGCCUGGACCAAUACUGACACUGAGGCGCGAAAGCGUGGGUAGCGAACAGGAUUAGAUACCCCGGUAGUCC